rnacentral:rRNA from 1 species
AAAUUCCUUGUCGGGUAAGUUCCGACCUGCACGAAUGGCGUAACGAUCUCCACACUGUCUCGGCCAGAGACUCGGUGAAAUUGAAGUCGCGGUGAAAAUGCCGUGUACCCGCAGAAAGACGGAAAGACCCUGUGCACCUUUACUAUAGCUUGACAUUGGGAUUUGAGCCUGCAUGUGUAGCAUAGGUGGGAGGCUGUGAACUCUGUACGCCAGUAUGGAGGGAGCCAUCGUUGAAAUACCACCCUUGUUUGUUCAGGUCCCUAACUCUUCGCCGUGAUCCGGUAAGAGGACAGUGUCUGGUGGGUAGUUUGACUGGGGCGGUCGCCUCCCAAAAUGUAACGGAGGCAUGCAAAGGUUCCCUCAGGCUGAUUGGAAACCAGCCGUCGAGUGCAAACGCAAAAGGGAGCUUGACUGCAAGAGAGACAUCUCGAGCAGGUACGAAAGUAGGUGUUAGUGAUCCGGUGAUCCCGAAUGGAAGGGUCAUCGCUCAUUGGAUAAAAGGUACGCCGGGGAUAACAGGCUGAUCGCAUCCAAGAGUUCACAUCGACGAUGCGGUUUGGCACCUCGAUGUCGGCUCAUCACAUCCUGGGGCUGAAGCAGGUCCCAAGGGUACGGCUGUUCGCCGUUUAAAGUGGUACGCGAGCUGGGUUUAAAACGUCGUGAGACAGUUUGGUCCCUAUCUUCUGUGGGCGUAGGAGAAUUGAAAGGGCCUGUCCCUAGUACGAGAGGACCGGGAUGGACACACCACUGGUGGACCUGUUGUCGUGCCAACGGCACAGCAGGGUAGCUAUGUGUGGAAGGGAUAACCGCUGAAAGCAUCUAAGCGGGAAGCCUGCCUUAAGAUAAGUUCUCCCUGACGCAAGUCCUGAAGGGCCGAGGUAGACGACCUCGUUGAUAGGCUGGAGGUGGAAGCCCUGUGAGGGGUGGAGCUGACCAGUACUAAUAGCCCGUGCGUCUUGUUUCU